GACGAACGCUGGCGGCGCGCUUAACACAUGCAAGUCGAGCGAAGCGUCGGACGGGUGAGUAACACGUGAGUAACCUGCCUUAGACAUUGGGAUAGCCUCGGGAAACCGGGAUUAAUACCAAAUGGUCUAAGAUGGACUCGCGUCCCAUUAGCUAGUUGGUGAGGUAACGGCCCACCAAGGCGACGAUGGGUAGCCGGCCUGAGAGGGUGAACGGGCACAUUGGAAAUGAGAAACGGUCCAAAAUCUACGGGAGGCAGCAGUGGGGAAUAGUGCACAAUGGAGGGAACUCUGAUGCAGCGACGCGGGGUGAACGAAGAAGGCUUUUGAGGAGUAAAGUUCGUUUAUAUGGGAAGCGGUAGUGGCAGAAGAAGCACCGGCUAACUACGUGCCAGCAGCCGCGGUAAUAC
rnacentral:rRNA from 1 species